rnacentral:tRNA from 1 species
UAUGAUAUUGGCUUGAAACCAGUUAGAGGGGGUUCGAUUCCUUCCUUUNNUA